rnacentral:rRNA from 1 species
UACGUAGGGUGCAAGCGUUACUCGGAAUUACUGGGCGUAAAGCGUGCGCAGGCGGUUGUGCAAGUCAGAUGUGAAAUCCCCGGGCUCAACCUGGGAACUGCAUUUGUGACUGCACAGCUUGAGUGCGGCAGAGGGGGAUGGAAUUCCGCGUGUAGCAGUGAAAUGCGUAGAUAUGCGGAGGAACACCGAUGGCGAAGGCAAUCCCCUGGGCCUGCACUGACGCUCAGGCACGAAAGCGUGGGGAGCAAACAGG